GGCUACUACAUCCAAGGAAGGCAGCAGGCGCGCAAAUUACCCAAUCCCGACUCGGGGAGGUAGUGACAAUAAAUACUGAUACAGGGCUCUUUUGGGUCUUGUAAUUGGAAUGAGUACAAUUUAAUUCCCUUAACGAGGAACAAUUGGAGGGCAAGUCUGGUGCCAGCAGCCGCGGUAAUUCCAGCUCCAAUAGCGUAUAUUAAAGUUGUUGCAGUUAAAAAGCUCGUAGUUGAACCUUGGGCCUGGCUGGCCGGUCCGCCUCACCGCGUGCACUGGUCCGGCCGGGCCUUUCCCUCUGGGGAGCCGCAUGCCCUUCACUGGGCGUGUCGGGGAACCAGGACUUUUACUUUGAAAAAAUUAGAGUGUUCAAAGCAGGCUUAUGCUCGGAUACAUUAGCAUGGAAUAAUAGAAUAGGACGUGCGGUUCUAUUUUGUUGGUUUCUAGGACCGCCGUAAUGAUUAAUAGGGACAGUCGGGGGCAUCAGU
rnacentral:rRNA from 1 species